GGGGACUCUUUUACAAAAGGUGAAAAGGGAGAUAGAGGAGAACCCGGAAUAAUAGGAUCCCAGGGAAUAAAGGGUGAACCUGGAGAUCCUGGUCCCCCUGGUUUAAUAGGAAGCCCAGGACUAAAGGGUCAGCAAGGACCUACAGGCCCCAUGGGACCCAGAGGACCACCAGGAGACAUUGGAUUGCCAGGAGAACAUGGCAUCCCAGGAAAACAAGGCAUUAAAGGAGAAAAGG